GUUUCAAUCCCUUAUAGGUAGACUAAGAAC
rfam:Thermosediminibacter oceani DSM 16646, complete genome.